rnacentral:rRNA from 1 species
GACGAACGCUGGCGGCGUGCCUAAUACAUGCAAGUCGAACGCAGUGGGGACGGGUGAGUAACCCGUGGGUAACCUCCCAUCAGAGGGGAUAACACUUGGAAACAGGUGCUAAACCGAUACUGAUGGAUGGACGCGCGGUGCAUUAGCUAGUUGGUGGGGUAACGGCUCACCAAGGCCACGAUGCAUAGCCGGCCUGAGAGGGUGACCAGCCACACUGGAACUGAGACACGGCCCAGACUCCUACGGGAGGCAGCAGUAGGGAAUCUUGGGCAAUGGGCGAAAGCCUGACCGAGCAAUGCCGCGUGAGUGAAGAAGGUUUUCGGAUCGUAAAGCUCUGUUGUUGGGGAAGCGGUAUCUAACCAGGAAGCCACGGCUAACUACGUGCCAGCAGCCGCGGUAAUAC